UGAGCGCUGACAGAAUGCUUAACACAUGCAAGUCGAUGGGGAAGUGGUGCUUGCACCAUGGCAACCAUGGCGGACGGGUGAGUAACGCGUAAGGGACUUACCUGCAGGACUGGGAUAACAGGGGGAAACUCCUGACAAGACCGGAUAAUGUCAUGGAGCUGCAUGGCUUUAUGAUGAAAGGAGACGCCUGCGGAGAGCCUUGCGUCCUAUUAGCUAGUUGGUGAGGUAAUGGCUCACCAAGGCGAAGAUAGGUAGCCGGCCUGAGAGGGUGGACGGCCACAAGGGGACUGAGAUACGGCCCUUACCCCUACGGGAGGCGGCAGUGGGGAAUAUUGGACAAUGGGGGCAACCCUGAUCCAGCAAUUCUGUGUGCACGAAGAAGGUUUUCGGAUUGUAAAGUGCUUUCAGCAGGGAAGAAGUAAGUGACGGUACCUGCAGAAGAAGCGACGGCUAAAUACGUG
rnacentral:rRNA from 1 species